rnacentral:lncRNA from 1 species
CCAAACAAAAGUUUAGUUGAUAAAAAACCCUUUCAAAAAACCUCUCUAAGAUAUAAUUUAAGUUAAAAAAUGGAGAAAUCCUGAAAUCAAGUAGGAUAUUAUAGAUAGCAUGGAAAAUCAAGAGACAAAGGUAUAUUGUUUAACAAUUAUGCAAAACUAAUUUCAUAUAUUCGUGAAAAUCAUAUAUUUGAUUGAUUAAAUUUAUGUUAGUUAUUAUAUACUACAAAAAUAUUUGAAUCAUGAAUUCUAGUUUGCUCAUAAACAGGAAACAGGGAGAAAACUGCUAGACUAUGUCAUCCCACAGUGGAAAUCAGUAGGCGAGGGAUGUCCUUAGGGGAGUACACAAGGUUGAGGCGCUGAUAAACAGUAAUUAUCCGCUAAAGUACGAUGCUAGUAGUGACCGAAAAACAUGAUAACGAUACUCUAGUUUAUAAUAAACUAAUAUGAAUUUAAUUGAAUUAUGAUAUGAUAGGAAGGAAUAAUUGAAAAAAAACCUGCAUAAAUAAAUAAACAUGAUUACAAUGUAUGAUGAAAUAAAAAACUAUAAAACUUUGAUCUCAUAUAUACUUAAAGAUAUAGAAAUUGUUGACAUAAAAAAAUUAUGUGGGAAAAAAUAUUUGAUCAUGAUAUAGAAGAUACAUUAAAUCAAGAAUGGUAUGAAAUAGAUUUACAAAAAAUAGAUAUAGAAAGAAUAGAUAUAUACGAUUUAGAAAUAAAUUCAGAUUAAAAUGAACUAUGACUAUUUAAAAUAUUGGAUAAAAACUAUGAAUAUAUAAGAUUAUUAAAACAAUUAAUGCAAGAAAAUUUAUACAUGUACAAAAGAACCCAAGAUAUGUUAUAUAUAGAAUAUAUAAUAAAUAAUAUUAAAGAAAUAUUUAUAUUAGAACAAUUAUCAAAAUAAAAUAUAUUUUACUCUAUAAAAUAUGUAUGUCGUUUCUCACCGAUUUUAUGCCCAUCCGUAAACAACAUGCACUUAUUUAUUACUAAUAAAGUAUGAAUCAUGGUCUAACUUUUUACUUGUAUUAACAGAAGAAUGACGGAUUAUGUGCAAAAUCAGAUUAAUACUAAAUAUAAGAUUAUGCCGCUACACAAUAAGCUGCCACAAAAGUUAAAUUAUAUAAAUACAAAACAAAAAUUUUGUUGCGACUCACAAGGCUGCCACAGAAGUUUCACCUUUAGUGGCGAUAAGGUUGCUGCAAAAGGGACUUUUGUAGCGACUCUUAACUGAUAUGAUCGUAAUAAAUAUCUUUUUUUUUCAAUUAUAUUUUAUUAGAAGAUUAAUUUAUAUUGGGGUCGACUUGUUAAUUGUCUCCACUAAAAAGGACACACUUAGUGGCGACUUUACUAGUCACCAGUAAAACUAUGAUCUUUUAUAGCAACCUUUUGAAGUGGUCACUGGAGCUCUCACUUUUGUGGCACCUCUACACGUUGUCACUAAAAGUUGUUGCAGAAAACCACAGUUCUUGUAGUGUGGGUUGUACUUCCAUGUCGAGGAAGACAAGAAAGAGUUAGCGAAAGAUAUAAGCACAAUUGCACGAUUGGGAGUCCAGUUAAUAUUUCCAACGAAGGUGGAGUCGGUUAAUGGAAUUCAUGUUUGGUUGACCUAAAUGUUUGAAUUUUUUUUUUCCAAAUCAACUCAUUUUUCUCAAAUUUAAUGAAAAUUAGAUUGAGUAGAAAGAUCUGAUAUCAAAAGUUAGAAUUACAAUUAUUGAAUUAUGGCAAAUAUUUUGUUUUAAUGUCACAUAAAUUUAGAAUUUAUAUUUAUUGUUAACUUGGGUUCAUGUGUCCUGUGUCAUAAUUUGAUUUAUGAUUAGUUUAAAAUAUUGUGUAUGAGUUAAACCUAGAUAUUUUUAAAGCAAAUUUUUAUUUUAUGUUCAAAAAAUACAUAUUUAUUAAUAUUAUAGAGUCUAAUAGAUAAUAAUUUUAAUUACAAUAUUCAAAUAAAUUAUAUAAACGACAUUAAAGAGCUACAAUGACUUAAAAUAAAAAAUAAAAUAUCAUACAAAUAGAUGCAUAUGAUUGGAUAACAUCUUUAAUUUUUUAAGAUACAAGUGCGUGAACACAUUGAUUUUAUAAAUGAGUCCUUUCAAAAUUAUUAUGAAACUGCUCUCACUUCCCAAUUAUUUUGCAUAUAGUGGCUUGGAAAUGGAACAUGUCGGUGACCAAAGGGGCCUGUCACUACCACUCCCGUUCAUGACACUAUCUUUAAAUAAUAAUAAUUGAUAUAG